rnacentral:rRNA from 1 species
CCUACGGGUGGCAGCAGUGGGGAAUAUUGCACAAUGGGCGCAAGCCUGAUGCAGCCAUGCCGCGUGUGUGAAGAAGGCCUUCGGGUUGUAAAGCACUUUCAGCGGGGAGGAAGGCGUUAAGGUUAAUAACCUUGGCGAUUGACGUUACCCGCAGAAGAAGCACCGGCUAACUCCGUGCCAGCAGCCGCGGUAAUACGGAGGGUGCAAGCGUUAAUCGGAAUUCAUGGGCGUAAAGCGCACGCAGGCGGUCUGUCAAGUCGGAUGUGAAAUCCCCGGGCUCAACCUGGGAACUGCAUUCGAAACUGGCAGGCUAGAGUCUUGUAGAGGGGGGUAGAAUUCCAGGUGUAGCGGUGAAAUGCGUAGAGAUCUGGAGGAAUACCGGUGGCGAAGGCGGCCCCCUGGACAAAGACUGACGCUCAGGUGCGAAAGCGUGGGGAGCAAACAGGAUUAGAUACCCGAGUAGUC